CGCAGAGCUCUGUGGGUAGCUGGGUGCGCGGCGAUGGCUGGGCCCGGGGCCGGCUCCACUUACUGCUCCUCAGCGUCAGCUCCUGGUCCUUGAUAUCAGCCCAGGUGAUGGACACACAAACCAUUCAAGUGCCUGAGAAUGACCCAAUUGAUAUACCCUGUACUGCGUACGUAUCGCAAAGCGGAACACCCAGGGUCGAGUGGCAGUUUGAAAAGGGCCGUUCAAUAGUGCUGUUCUACUAUGAUUCGAAAUUCACAGGGACUGUCCAGUUUGGCCGAUGUACAUAGCAGAGGGGCAUUGCUGGCACGUGAUGGCAUAUAU